rnacentral:rRNA from 1 species
CCUACGGGAGGCAGCAGUGAGGAAUAUUGGUCAAUGGCCGGAAGGCUGAACCAGCCAUGCCGCGUGAAGGUCAGUGCCCUAUGGGCGUUAAACUUCUUUUGUGCGGGAGCAAUAAUGGUCACGUGUGGCCAGACGAGAGUACCGUACGAAUAAGCAUCGGCUAACAUCGUGCCAGCAGCCGCGGUAAUACGGGGGAUGCAAGCGUUUUCCGGAUUUAUUGGGGUUAAAGGGUGCGUAGGCUGUGAGGUAAGUCAGCGGUGAAAUGCCCCCGCUCAACGGGGUGAAGUGCCAUUGAUACUGCCUUGCUGGAAUGCGGAUGCCGUGGGAGGAAUGUGUGGUGUAGCGGUGAAAUGCAUAGAUAUCACACAGAACACCGAUUGCGAAGGCAUCUCACGAAUCCGCGAUUGACGCUGAUGCACGAAAGCGUGGGUAUCAAACAGGAUUAGAUACCCGAGUAGUC